rnacentral:rRNA from 1 species
GACGAACGCUGGCGGCGUGCUUAACACAUGCAAGUCGAACGGAAAGGCCCUGCUUUUGUGGGGUGCUCGAGUGGCGAACGGGUGAGUAACACGUGAGUAACCUGCCCUUGACUUUGGGAUAACUUCAGGAAACUGGGGCUAAUACCGGAUAGGAGCUCCUGCUGCAUGGUGGGGGUUGGAAAGUUUCGGCGGUUGGGGAUGGACUCGCGGCUUAUCAGCUUGUUGGUGGGGUAGUGGCUUACCAAGGCUUUGACGGGUAGCCGGCCUGAGAGGGUGACCGGCCACAUGGGGAUGGACUGAGACCCGGGACACACGCGGGAGGCAGGAGGCGGUGUGGAAGACUAAGGGGUGGACGCAGGCGGGAGCCACCCCGGGGGCGGGAGUGCGGAAUGCGGGUUGGAAGCAAAUCUCUCUUACCACGGAGGGUAAGGGCGGUAAAGGGGAAAAAAGCCCCGGGUAACUCCGGG